rnacentral:rRNA from 1 species
CCUUUCCCGGGUAAUCUUUGAAAUUUCAUCGUGAUGGGGAUAGAUCAUUGCAAUUGUUGGUCUUCAACGAGGAAUUCCUAGUAAGCGCGAGUCAUCAGCUCGCGUUGACUACGUCCCUGCCCUUUGUACACACCGCCCGUCGCUCCUACCGAUUGAAUGAUCCGGUGAAAUGUUCGGAUCGCGGCGACGUGGGCGGUUCGCUGCCCGCGACGUCGCGAGAAGUCCAUUGAACCUUAUCAUUUAGAGGAAGGAGAAGUCGUAACAAGGUUUCCGUAGGUGAACCUGCGGAAGGAUCAUUGUCGAAACCUGCAAAGCAGCACGACCCGCGAACACGUUUAAAACACUUGGGGGCGACGCGCGCUCGUCGCGCGCCUCCCUCCCGCCCCCGACUUGCGCGCUUGCGCGCUCGUUUUGGGGGG